GGCAGUAUGGUGUAAUGGUUUGAGUGCUGGACUGUAACUCUGGAGGCCAGGGUUCGAUUCCCUGCUCGGCUA